rnacentral:rRNA from 1 species
GACGAACCGUGCGAACGUUAUUCGGAAUCACUGGGCUUAAAGCGCGUGUAGGCGGGCCGGCACGUCGGCCGCUGAAAUCCCCCGGCUCAACCGGGGAAGCGGCGCCGAUACGACCGGCCUGGAGGGGAGUAGGGGGGCCUGGAACUUCCGGUGGAGCGGUGAAAUGCGUUGAGAUCGGAAGGAACGCCCGUGCGAAAGCGAGGCCCUGGACUCCUGCUGACGCUGAGACGCGAAAGCCAGGGGAGCGAACGGG